GGCCCCGGCCCCGGGGUUGAGCCCCCCCAGGGCCUGGGCCACACAGUGCCCGCCACCGCAGGGUUCUCUCCCAGGUUAGAGGGCCCAGAAGGGAUGGGAGCCGGCGCUGAGCAGAGCUCGGCUGUGCCCCCGCCCCAUUUCCAACUGGCUGGUCUGCAAGCCCAGACACUGUACUGUGAGCUGGCUCCCAGAGCCAAGACUGCACCCGGGCCUGUGGCCCGCUGUGAUGUCCCUAGGCCCCUCCCCAUCCUAGGCAGGGGCCAGGACAGGCAUGUGGAGGACCAAGGGAGCUGUGGGCCACCCACGCCAGCCCUCUGCCGUCGCUCUCUGCAGGUCAUGGGCCACAGCAGAGUCCAGAGGGGUGCCACCUGGGACUCAGGCAGCAGCUUGACUCUAGGCAGCAGCCCAAGUCCCCGCCCUGGCGGCUCAGCCCCACAGCCAGGGUCAGCCUGGACCAGAGCCUGGAGCCCAGAUCAACAGUAUGGAUACCCCAAGUCCUGCGCCAUUGUCCAUUUGCUUACCCAUGACCCUUCCCCCCAGCUGUCACCAACCCCAAUUUCCCUGGCUGCCUCUCCUCUGACCAGGGACCACCUGGGACCCACAAUGUUCCCCUCACUGACCGGUUACCCCCUCCCCACCCCCAUUCCCGACCAACCCUGCUUCCCCCAGGGCCCUGCCCCCCCCCCCCCCCCGAGCCUUCAGGACUCAGCCUCCCUGCUGGGGACUCAGAGCUCUGAGGAGCGGUUUGAGAGGAAGUUCUCAGCCAAGAUCCAAGCCCUGCGGGGGCUGCGGCGGCACACACACAGGGCUGCCCUGCUGGAUCCCCAGCCCUGGGAGCCCAGCCCCUGCCUGCUGACCCACAGGGAGGCUUCCCAUGCCCUGGCGGCUGCUGGCAGGGAAGGCCACGAGGGCAGGUACCCAGCCCUGAGCUGAUCAGAGGAAGUCGCUUCUCCAGCCUGCAAAA
rnacentral:lncRNA from 1 species